UACGUAGGGUGCGAGCGUUAAUCGGAAUUACUGGGCGUAAAGCGUGCGCAGGCGGUUUUGUAAGCCAGGUGUGAAAGCCCCGGGCUCAACCUGGGAAUGGCAUUUGGGACUGCAAGGCUUGAGUGCGGCAGAGGAGACUGGAAUUCCUGGUGUAGCAGUGAAAUGCGUAGAUAUCAGGAGGAACACCGAUGGCGAAGGCAGGUCUCUGGGCCAUAACUGACGCUGAGAAGCGAAAGCAUGGGGAGCGAACAGG
rnacentral:rRNA from 1 species